CCCCUCUUAGGGUCGCACCUGGCGAGUUUCCAGCACUCUACCAGUCUCGACUAUGGGAGGGCGAGUCUAGCAGAGGCCUACCCAUUCCAUUCCUAGCUUGGGCAGUGGCUAGCGAGUGGAAGGCAAUCUGCGACAAGU
rnacentral:snoRNA from 1 species